rnacentral:rRNA from 1 species
UACGUAGGGCGCAAGCGUUGUCCGGAAUCAUUGGGCGUAAAGCGCGCGUAGGUGGCCUCAUAAGUCCGCUGUGAAAGUCCAAGGCUCAACCUUGGAAAGCCGGUGGAUACUGUGAGGCUAGAGUACGGAAGAGGCGAGUGGAAUUCCUGGUGUAGCGGUGGAAUGCGCAGAUAUCAGGAGGAACACCAAUAGCGAAGGCAGCUCGCUGGGACGUUACUGACACUGAGGCGCGAAAGCUAGGGGAGCGAACGGG